rnacentral:lncRNA from 1 species
AUGCCUGUCUCCAGCCCGGUCGAGCUGUGUGCCUGUCUCCAGCCCGGUCGAGCUGUGUGCCUGUCUCCAGCCCGGUCGAGUUGCCUGCCAGUCCCCAGCCUGGUCGAGCUACCUGCCAGUCUUCAGCCCGAACGACCUGCCUGUCUUGCACACUAGCAGUCUACUUUAAUUGGAACAGCCCACCUACCUGCAUCGCAUUAUGGAAUUCGAGUUUGAUCCUGCUAACAUUCGACUAACUUCCAGCUAUCACUUCAACUUCUGCCUAAGCGAACGUUAGCCAGCUUUCCUUAUAACUGUGUUCCAUGUCAAAUGCAAAAAUCUCUUGUACACGAUACAUGAAGAACUAGGUGCCAUCGAUACAUUCGACGCGUAAGCGAAGCUAACGAAUCUAUUACAGAUUUAUUCCACUAUCGCCAACAUAAUACUCAGGAGGAUGAUUUUUACUAUUUACCAAUUCAACGAGAUAAAAUUUCUUCCAAGUUAAGCGGCACUGUAUUAUCUAAGAAAUUAUGUCAAAAACGGAAGAGUAAUACACUUUUUUUAAUCAAUUAAAACUAAGCUAGAAAAUGAUCUUCUCCACAAGCUUACCUGAGCAGGUACUAUAUAGUUUCUUACACAGCUAUCAACUACCAGCAUUUAUAUAUCAGCUGGCUCCAGUAACGAAUACCAAUCUACAAAGCUUGACUGGUCUUCUACACUAGAUUGCAAUACCGAAAUAGGUAUGAUUCUGAUAUAAAAAACAAAUAGUUUGCAUGUGGCACAGGUAUGCAUAAGUAGGCAAUUAAAGAAUCUCUUACAGAUUUAAGGCCAGAUGACACUGAUAUCAGGUUUUAAGUAAAUCGGACAAAAGUCCAUCAGAUAACAUUACACAUUAUGAUAAAGAAAGAAGUAGGUAACACACAUUUUUCAGGUUUAAAAUGGAUACAUAUUUAAGCUAGAACACAGUCAUAUACAGAAAAAUGAUUAUGGAUUAAGAUAGCGUACCACUCUUACAAAAAACAAGAAACAGAAGAACGAGACAUGAAACAUAAACGGCUACUGGCUGAAAGCAAUUGCAGUAACAAAAGUAUAGCAUGUGAUAUUACUGAGCUUGUAAGGUAUGCAACAAAUUAUCUCUUACAGGCUUAUACUCCUAGGCUAAUCGCAAAAUGAACAUUAAGUUAUUAACAUUUUAGUAAAAGCACGGCUUCAAUGGACCACAAAGAUUGGUACAAGUUUUACAUUUUUGAAAACCAACAACCAAAAAUUAUUUAUUCAAUACAUGAAUACACAUGGCAUGUGGUAUGCAAUAAAUAGCUUAGGUAAGAAAAUUAAGGAUCAUAAGUCGAGAGAUGCCUGCCAGCCUCCAGCCCGGUCGAGAGAUGCCAGCUAGUCCCCAGCCUGACUAACUGCCGCCUGUCAGUCUACUAAGAGCAACGUGGCUCCAGGUUGACGGGUCUGAUCGAGCUGCCUACCAGGCUUCAGCCUUCCUGCCAGUCUGCAUGACUCCGGGUCAACGUGCCAGUCUUAACGCUGUGAAGCUGCCUGCCAGUCCACGGAGAGUGGCGUGGCUCCGGCUCGACGUGUCCGGUCGAACUGCUUGCCAGGCCUCAGCCUGGUCGAUCUACCGUCCAGUGUCCAGCCCGGUCCAGCUGUCUGCCAGUCUCCAGCCCGGUCUAGCUGACGGCCAGUCUCCAACCCGGCUGAGCUACCUGCUAAUCUCCAGCCCAGUUGAGCUGCCGGCCAGUCUCCAGCCCGGUCGAGCUGCCGGCCAGUCUUCUGCAUGGCUACGAGUCGACGUGCCAAUUUUAACCCUGUGAAGCUGCCUGCCAGUCUCCAGCCCGGUCCAGCUGUCUGCCAAUCUCCAGCCCGCUCAUGCUGCCUGCCAGUCUCCUGAAAAUCUCCGGGUCAACGUGCCAGUCUUAACGCUGUGAAGCUGCCUGCAAGUCUACGGGAGAGUGGCGUGGCUCCGGGUCGACGUGUCCGGUCGAACUAUUUGCCAGGCCUCAGCCUGGUUGAGCUGCUGGCCAGUCUUCAGCCCGGUAGAGCUGCCGGCCAGUCUCCAGCCCAGUCACGCUGCCUGCCAGGCCUCAGCCUGGUCGAGCUGCCGGCCAGUCUCCAGCCUGUUCGAGCUGCCUGCUAGUCUACCAAGUGCAGCUUGGCUCCGGGUCAAUGGGUCCAGUCGAGCUGCCUACCAGUCUGCAGCUCAGUUUAACUGCCUACCAGUCUAUGAGCAUAGCUGCAGCAUGAUUAUAAUUUUAAAUAAAUGUUUAUUCCAAAAAUGAGGAAGGUUCUUACUACCUUCAAAGUGCAGAGUUACUCCGGGUCGUCGUCUCCGGUUGAGCUGCCUACCAUUCAGCCUGGUUAAGCUGCCUACCAGUCUACAAAAUGCAGCGGGCUCCGGAUCGUCGUGUCCUGUUAGCUGCCUAACAGGCCUUAGCCUGGUCGAGCUGCCUGCCAGUCUUGUGACUCCGGGUUGUCAAGCUCGUCGAGUUGUUCGAGCUGUCUGCGAUUCUUCAUCCCGGUCAAACUGCCUGCCAGUCUCCAGCGCGGUUGAACUACGUGCCAGGCUACGAGGUCCAGCGUGGCUCCGGAUCGUCCUGCCCAGUCGAGCUUCCUACGAGUCUUCAGCCCGGUCGAACUGCAUGCCGGUCUCCAGCUUGGUUGAGCUACCUGCCAGGCUACGAGGUGCAGCGUGGCUCCGGAUCGUCGUAUCCAGUCGAGCUGCCUAACAGGCCUCAGCCUGGUCGAGCUGCCUGCCAGUCUUGUGACUCCGGGUUGUCAAGCUCGUCGAGUUGUUCGAGCUGCCUGCGAUUCUUCAUCCCGGUCAACUACCUGCCAGUCUCCAGCGCGGUUGAACUACGUGCCAGGCUACGAGGUUCCGGAUCGUCCUGCCCAGUCGAGCUUCCUACGAGUCUUCAGCCCGGUCGAGCUGCAUGCCGGUCUCCAGCUUGGUUGAGCUACCUGCCAGGCUACGAGGUGCAGUGUGGCCCCGGAUCGUCGUAUCCAGUCGAGCUGCCUAACAAGCCUCAGCCUGGUUGAGCACCUGCCAGUCUUCAUCCCGGUCAAACCGCCUAUCAAUCUCGAGCGCGGUUGAACUACAUGCCGGUCUCCAGCCCGGUCGAUCUGCGUACCAGUCUCCUCCCCAGUCGUUGCGUGCCAAUCUACGAGGAGCAGCGUGGCUCCGGAUCUUCGUGUCCAGUCGAGCUGCCUGCCUAUCACGUGGUUCCGGGUCAUCGUGUCCGUUCGAGCUGCCUACGAGUCUGCAUCCCAUUCAAACUACCUGCCGGUGUCUAGCGCGGUUGAACUACGUGCUAGUCUCAAGCCAGGUCGAGCAGCCUGCCAGUCUACGAGGUGCAGCAUGGCUGUUGGACAAUGUGCCUGAAUAAGCUACCAGCCAUUCUCCGGCUCAGUCGAGCUGCCUGCUAGUCUUUAGUGAUGGAGCUGCACCAUGUUUUAAAUGGAUGUAAGUUGAAAGUUCUUAUCAGAUUUAGAAAGACCCUAAUUAAAAGUAGUAAAUGCCGGUUGGCUUUCUUUCAAUUGUGGUCAUCGCAUAGUUGCGUUUCUUUGAUCUUGCAGGUCUUACACACUAGAAGUCUACUUUAACUAGAAGCUUGCAACCUACCUACCCGCUACCACUAAGUUCGAGUUUCAAGAUCACCUGCCAACAUUCGACCAACUUCCAGCUAUAAACCUCAACUUCUGCCUAACCGAACGUUAGCCAGCUUUCCUUAUAACUGUGUUCCAUGUCAUGCAGAAAUCUCUAGUCAUGCCAUCGAUAUACAUUCGACACGUAAGCAAAGCUAACGACUCUAUUGCAGAUUUACUCUACACCAUAACAACCGAGGAUUAGCUAUAUCAAUAUUAAUGAAAUAAAACUUCCAUCAAGCACAGCAGCACUUCCCGCAUCAUCAAGCUAUCCAGCUGGCCUGCUGACGAACUAUAAACUUUGCGUAUGAAUUUCCUGAAUAUGCCUAAGCGAGUCAUCAAAACUUCAUUCCUUGCCAAGCUUUCAAUGAUCCUUACUGCAUGCGGCUAGCUUUAACUACAGUGCUCGAUACCUCCAGAACUGAGGACCGUUGAUAUAGUUACGUCCGACACGUAAGCAAAGCUAACGACUCUAUUACAGAUUUUAAAAGAUCACCUUCACUGAAUGCAGCUGCUUGAAUAGAACUGUGAGGAAGCUGCUAACUACAUCUUACAAAUUCAACUAGAUUCUAAGCGGAACUUGAAAAGUCUACUACAAAAAUUAGACGUAAGAAUUAACACACCUUUUCCAGGUUAAAAAUAAAAUUAGAACCUGACUAACUGGAACACGUUCUCCAAAUAAUUUUAUUUGAUGUAACUUUAUUCCAAUGAACAAACAGAUGGUUUCAAGGAUGUAUGACUACACGCAAAACGCGAAUUUAAUUAAGUGAUCAAGUACGGUAAGCAACAACUGAUCUCUUACAGGUUUAAAGGCUAUGAACAUUGUAUGCAAAUAUAAGCUUAGCUCCAGUACCUACACAGUAUCGAGACCACGAGCUACACAACUUAACGGGUAAUCUUUACAAGUUUUCAUCACCAAAUGACCAAUGCAGAAAGGGCAUGAAUUACAUUAUCAAGACAAGUACCCACGUUCGAGGUAUGGAACAAAUAGCAUGAGUACCUGAGAAGUUAAAGAAUCUCUUCCAGAUUUGUCUACCUGCUGCCAGAUCAAUUUUAGCAACUGCAGGGUACAUACAAUGCAAAAAUCUCCAGCACCAGAUACAUUGAGGACUUAGCAAAACUAAAGAUUCUUACAGAUUUAUAAAAAUCAUCAUCACUGUAACCUCCAACUGCGAGGACAACGCCUAAUGGAACACCAGUGUGGAAGAACAUCUUAUAAAUUCACUGAGAUAAAAAAACCUAGCAGCGCCUGAUAUAGAACGUCUUCAAAAAUCUGAUGUAAGAAUUACACACAUGAUUUCCAGGUUUAAACCAACUGGACCAACCAACCAACCAACCAACUGGAUCAUGCACUCCAAAGAAUAUCAUUUGAAGUAACUUUAUUCCAAAGAACAAACAGAUGGUUUCCAGAAUGACUUCAAGCAAAACGCAAAAUUAAAUAAGUGAGCCAGUACGAUAUAGUACGGUAAGCAACUAAUGAUCUCUUACAGGUUUAAAGGCUAAAUAACCAUUGGAGGAUCGAGAAAAUAUAUCAACGUUUAAUAAAUAUAAGCUUUGCUCCAGUAUCUAGACUAUAAACAGUUUAACUGGUAAUCUUUAUAAGUUUUCGUAACCAAAUGGCCAAUGCAGAAAGGGCAUGAGUUACAUUAUUAAGACAAAUACCCACAUUCAAGGUUUGGAAUAAAUUGCUGGAACACCUGAGAAGUUAAAGAAUCUCUUUCAGAUUUGUCUACCUAACUGAUGAUUUGAAGGAUGUAUUACUACGGGCAACACAUAAAAUUAAAAAAGUGAGCAACGUUAGCGUAGUACGGUAAGCAACAAAUGAUAUCUUACAGGUUUAAAGGCGAGGAUCGAGAAAAAUAUCAACGUUUAAAUGUAUAAGCUUGACUCCAGUAUCCAGUAUGAAGACCAUGGACUACCAGCUUAAGUGGUAAUCUUAACAAGUUGUCGCCACCAGAUGAGCAAUGCAGAAAGGGCAUAAGUUAUCAAGACAAAUAACCCACAUUCGGCAAGGGUAUGGAAGAAAUAGCUUAAAGUAAAAGAAUCUCUUACAGAUUUAUCUAGCUACUACCAGACAUCACUUUUAGUAACUGCAGUACGUACAAUGCGAAAAUCCCGAGUACCCGAUACAUAGAGAACUUCGUGCCGUUGAAGCAGUUACGUUCGGCAUGUAAGCAAAACUAAAGAUUAAACUACAGACUUUUUUAAAUCGUCAACACUGUAACCCCAAAUGCAUGGAAAACGCCCAAUGUACCAACCGUGUGGAAGAACAGCACCUAAAUCUUACAAAUUCAACGACAUAAAAUAACCAAGCAGCGCCUGUUAUAGAACGUCUUCAAAAAUCAGACGUAAGAAUUUAACACACUAUUUCCAGGUUAAAUAAGUGAGCAAAUACCAAGUACGAUGUAGUACGGUAAGAAAUAAUUAAUGAUCUCUUACAGGGUAAAUAAACAUUGCAGGAUAGACAAAUAACCACUUUCAAAUUUCAUGACUACAGUAUCCUUACAGUAUGAAGACCACGAACUACACAACUUAACUGGUAAUCUUUACAAGUUUUCGUCAUCAAAGGACCAAUUUAGAAAGGGCGUGAGUUACAUUAUCAAGACAAAUACCCUCGUUCCAGGUAUGGAAUAAAUAGCUUGAGUACCUGAGAAGUUAAAGAACUCUUACAGAUUUGUCUACCUGGUGCCAGACAUCAAUUUUUAGCCACUGCACAUACAAAGCAAGAAUCUCCAGCAUCCGAUACAUAGAGAAUGUAAUGCCGUUGAUGCAGUUUACAUCCGGCUUGUAAGCGAAAUUAAAGAUUCUAUUACAGGUUUUUAAAUAUCAUGAUCACUGUAACCUUCAACUGCGUGGACAGCGCCCAGGUACACCCGUGUGGAAAUACAACACCUACAUCUUACAAAUUCAACGAGACAAAAUAACUAAGCAGCGCAUGAUAUAGAACUUCUUCAAAAAUCAGAUGUAAGAAUUUGACACAUUUCCAGGUUUAAAAUAAAAUGAAUAACUGGAAUAUGUACUCCAAAACAUCUUAUUUGAGGUAACAUUAUUUCAAAGGACAAACAGAUAAUUUCAAGGAUGUAUGACUACAGACAACGCAAAAUUAAAGGAAUGAGAAUACAAGUACAAUAUAGUACGGUAAGCAACAAUUGAUCUCUUACAGGUUUAAAAGCUAAAUGAAUUUGGAGGAUCGCGAGAAAGAUCAACGUUUAAAUAUAAGCUUGGCUCCUGUACCCAGUCUCAAGACCACGAGCUAGUCAACUUAACUGGUAAUCUUAAAAAGUUAUUGUCACCAAACAAGCAAUGCAGAAAGGCCAUAAGUUAUCAAGACAAAUAACCCACAUUCGGCAAGGGAUGGAAUAAAUAGUUUAAGUACCUAAGAAGUUAAGAAUCUCUUACAGAUUUGUCAACCUGCAGCGAGACUUGUGCAACUGUAGAGUCAGUAAAAUGCAGAUAUCUCCAGUACAUAAAGAACAUAAUGCAGUUGAUACAAUUAACAUUCGGCAAUGUACGAGUAAGCAAAACUAAACACUCUAUUACAGAUUUUUUCAAAUACCAUUACUGUUACCUCCAACUACUUGGACAACGACCAAUGAAACACCCGUGUGGAAGAACAACACUUACAAAUUCAACGAGAUAAAUUUCCAUCUUUAAAAUAAAAUUAAUACCUGACCAAUUACAACAUGGAUCGUCCAAAGAAACUAAAAGCGGAUUCAGGACUUUCAUUAAAAAAAUAAACCGAACUUCAUCAAUAGAAUUUGAGGUAUCGUUACUGGAAAUGUGAACAAUGCAACAUCAGAUACAAGUUGUACGGUAAGCAGCAAAAUGAUCUCUUACAGGUUUGAAAACAGUGAGCUUGAAUUAGGAUAAUCAAAGGGUGGCUCCAGUAUUCAAGACUGCAAACUACAUAACUGGUAAUCUACAGUUUCUACACCAAACAACGGAAGCAGAAAGGUACAUUCAGAUAUUCAGACAUUCGUGUGGCAAUGGUAUGCAAUAAAUAUAUUAAGGUCUCUAAAAAUUAACGCCAAAUAACAGAUUAUGUUGAUGAUGAGGACACAAAUAAACUAUAAAACCACAAAAAAGAUUACGGUUGGUAUCAAGAACAUCGCAGAACACAUCUUAUAGUAUCCAGGAUAUAACCACAAGGCGAGUAAGUAAUUUAAUUUUUUACAGGUUUCAAGGCAAGGAGAGUUAAAAUAAAAAUUGUAAUAUUUAAAUACGAGACUAUAUAGAUUAUUGUGAUAUCCUGUAUCGAAGCGUGACAAAAAUAUAAUUUGAGCCUUUGAGGGAAGUAAAAUGUAAGCAACAUUAAUAAAAUCUCUUACAGGUAUCGAGCAAUGCGAGUUAUUUUAACAUGAGUGAAUAAUAACUGUGAAUAAUAGAAACUGAUUAAAGUUUUAUGAUAUAAAGCGAAUAAAUUUGAGAAUAAGACGUAUAAUCUUAAAAUGUGAAAAAGCAGAUUUAUACAAACAAUUCAAUUUAAAAAUAUAGCAAACAUUAAUACUGACUCAUAUUUUUAGUAUAACAGUUAACAUAUUCAGAUUAAUCUUUGUUGUUGUUUGUAUGUCGUAAUAAAUUUUAUUCUAGGUACAAAAAUUGUGUGUAAUAAUGUUUCUUUGUCGAUUUGUUCUAAUUAUAUUAUUUACAGAUUCAGGAAUUUACGUAAGCGCAAUUUAUCAAAGUAUGUUUAAUAUCUUUUUUUCAGAUUCUGGAUAGGUAUGAUGUUUAGUCGUUAUAAGACUCAACAAUUUUUUUUGAAUUACAUAAAAUAGGCUUAAGGCCUUGGUUAGGCUAAAUUUGUUUAUCAACAGGUAUUUCCAAUAGACAAUGAUGAAGAGUUAAGACGAAGAUGAUGGCCGGAGACAAAGAUGACGACUGAAGACGAAAAUGCAGACCGAAGAUGAAGACAGAAGACAAAGAGAAAACUCGAGGGCGAAAAUGAAGAACGAAGACCGAGGACGAGAUGAAGAAAGAAGACCGAGGCCAAUGAUGACAAAACAACGAAAGUGAAGAUAAUUAGGAGAGCAGGCAAAGAUAAAACUCUGUAUUACCAACGUCCACCAUUGAUUUUGUGGAGAUGGUGAUAUAGAAUAAAAAAAGACAGUCUAUAGGAUCAUUAAACUGUAAUAAGUGAACCUAACAAUUAAAUAGACAUCAAACCGGUAGCACCAAUGCCGGGACGAUAACGACAACCGAUGGCUGCUGACAAAGAUGAAAAAUACCAAGAUUAUAAAAACCAAUUAGUGUGAAUAUGAAGAACGAAGACCGAGGUUGAAGAUGAAGAAAGAAGAGCGACGGCGAAGACGAAGAAAGAAGACCAAGGGUGAAGAUGAAGAAAGAAGACCAAGGGCGAAGAUGAAGAAAGAAGACCAAGGAUGAAGAUGAAGAAAGAAGACGUAGGGCGAAGAUGAAGAAAGAAGACCGAUGGCGAUAACGGAUUGCGACGGUGAGGGUGAAGAAAGAAGA